GACGAACGCUGGCGGCGUGCUUAACACAUGCAAGUCGAACGGAAAGGCCCCUUUGGGGGUACUCGAGUGGCGAACGGGUGAGUAACAGGUGCGUAACCUUCCCUUGACUUUGGGACAACUUCAGGAAACGGGGGCUAAUACUGGUAAGGAAUCCUUUCUGCAAGGUGGGGGUUGGAAAGCUCCGGCGGUUUUUGAUGGACUCGCGGGUUAUCGGCUUGUUGGAGGGGUAGUGGCUUACCAAGGCUUUGUCGGGUAGCCGCACUGAGGGGGCGACCGGCCACAUUGGGACUGAGAUACGGCCCAGACUCCUACGGGAGGCAGCAGUGGGGAAUAUUGCACAAUGGGCGGAGGCCGGAUGCAGCAACGCCGCGUGCGGGAUGACGGCCUUCGGGUUGUAAACCGCUUUCAGCAGGGGCGAAGCUUGUGGUGACGGUACCUGCAGAAGAAGCACCGGCUAACUACGUG
rnacentral:rRNA from 1 species